CAUUAAGGUCUUACCCAGAUGAAAUAAAAUGACAAGACCAGAUGGACUCCUGACGAGUGUCUGGAUGUUCAACAUCAAUCACUUUUACACCAACAAAACAUCCUAUUACACAGGGUACUGCAUUGCUUCAGAUAUUCUAACUUUUUGACCAGCGACUUUGGUAUCGGAUCCAUACAUUACACUUUUUCCUGCGGGAAAAAAAAAAAAAUUGUACAACUGCAUAAAUAUAAAACUCUUCCACCAUGAAAAUGACUAAAACAUUCAUUAGAAAGUUACACCACGUCAUGUGAUGUCUCCAGCAACAACAACAAAAAAAAAUGGUUCGUUUUAAAAGCACAGAGUCGCUGUCAGUGUUUCCAUGAAGGAGGAAGGAAGCUAGUCUCCCUGCCUGCUGCUAGAUACACAGAACACUGCUAGCUCUAGACUACAAUAGAGAGGAGGAGGAGAAGCAUUGGACAUAGAGAGAGGAGGAGGAGGAGAAGCAUUGGACAUAUAGAGGAGGAGGAGGAGAAGCAUUGAACAUAGAGAGAGGAGGAGGAGGAGGAGAAGCAUUGGACAUAGAGAGAGGAGGAGGUGAAACAUUGGACAUAGAGAGGAGGAGGAGAAGCAUUGGACAUAUAGAGGAGGAGGAGGUGAAGCAUUGGACAUAGAGAGGAGGAGGAGAAGCAUUGGACAUAUAGAGAGGAGGAGAAGCAUUGGACAUAGAGAGAGGAGGAGGUGAAGCAUUGGACAUAGAGAGGAGGAGGAGAAGCAUUGGACAUAUAGAGGAGGAGGAGGUGAAGCAUUGGACAUAGAGAGGAGGAGGAGAAGCAUUGGACAUAUAGAGGAGGAGGAGGAGGAGAAGCAUUGGACAUAGAGAGGAGGAGGAGGAGAAGCAUUGGACAUAUAGAGGAGGAGGAGGCGAAGCAUUGGACAUAGAGAGAGGAGGAGAAGCAUUGGACAUAGAGAGAGGAGGAGAAGUAUUGGACAUAUAGAGGAGGAGGAGGAGGAGAAGCAUUGGACAUAUAGAGAGGAGGAGAAGCAUUGGACAUAGAGAGAGGAGGAGGUGAAGCAUCAAACAAGACAUUUCAUUAAACCCUCUGUCCCAUAUUAAAGUUGAUCCAAAAAGAAAAAAAUAAAGUAAUGUAGAAAUAUUCUCCCACAAUCAACUCAAAAAGACACAGGAAAAAGCAUUCCAGGGAGUGCAGCCAUUUACUGACAGACUUACAGAUCAGAGCGUACCAUGCCAGUAUUUUCAGUUAGUAAGAGUAUAUUAACACAUCCACACACUCACAUUAACACACACACACACACACACCCCUUGGACCACUAAAGCUUACUGACAUAAGACAACAGAAAUUACAACAUGGCUUGGAAAGGACCACUGUAUGUCACUACUGCACUGGAUACUCCAAACGUACAUAGAAAGCACAUUAGGCAGAAUACUUAGGGGACAGACAGAAACACUGCUCGCUACAUAUCAGUAGUGGAAUUGCAAUUUACAGUAAGAGAUGAACAUGUCCCAUGGCUCAAGGACUUCUCAUUUACAGUAGAAUAAAUAUGUUGCAAUUGCUACUCUUCCUGUAAUGUACAUUCUAAACCCUAGACAUUAUGCAGGAAGCCAGUGUAGUGUACAUUCUAAACCCUAGACAUUAUGCAGGAAGCCAGUGUAGUGUACAUUCUAAACCCUAGACAUUAUGCAGGAAGCCAGUGUAGUGUACAUUCUAAACCCUAGACAUUAUGCAGGAAGCCAGUGUAAUGUACACAGAUUAACUGUAGGUCCCCGUAUAUUAUGAAAGUUUGUUCCAAGACUAGUCGUGUUUUUUUUAAUAUAACUUUUUUUUUUUUUUCUUCUCUCUAAAUCAUCUUGUUUUGAAAUGUGGGAAGAUAACAGUGUGUUUUUUUUCAUAGCUGAGGUCAUGAAUUGGCGAUAGUGAACUUAACGUCAAAGCGUCCUUGGUAGCGAUCUUUCUCGCUGUAGUCAAUGUUCGCUCCGUACACUUUGCACUCGAGACGCAGCUCCUCGUUGAAGGUGAGGUUGGUAAACUGGAUGGCCACCAGAGGUUGCAGGUAGUUUGGAUGCAGCAGCUUGCCGUAGUAAGGGUAGUACUGGAGGGGGAACCCCAUUCCCAUGCCAUAGUACUUGAUCUCACCAAUCUUGCUGGCAUCCUCCUCUCUCUGUAGAGAAUGACAUCACAGUUAAGUAGGCUGCCAUUACAGAACAAGGUUGCAUCUUUUUCCC
rnacentral:lncRNA from 1 species